UACGGAGAGUGCAAACGUUGUUCGGAUUCACUGGGCGUAAAGGGCACGUAGGCGGCUCGGCAAAUCGGUCGUGGAAUCCAGACGCUUACCGUCUGAACGGCGGCCGAAAAUACCGGGCUCGAGGGCGUGAGGGGUCACUAGAACUCCUGGUGAAGCGGUGAAAUGCGUAGAUAUCAGGAGGAACGCCGGAGGCGAAAGCGAGCGACUGGCGCGUUCCUGGCGCUGAGGUGCGAAAGCUAGGGGAGCAAACAGG
rnacentral:rRNA from 1 species